rnacentral:rRNA from 1 species
CAUGCAAGUCGAACGAGGAUAUAUCCUUCGGGAUAUAAGCCGAGUGGCGCAAGGGUGAGUAAUGCAUAGAUUACCUGCCUCUAGGAUAAGGACAACUUUGUGAAAACGAAGCUAAUACUUAAUAAUACAAAAGAAAAUAAUUUUCUUUUGUCAAUGGGAGGGUAGUAAUACCUUUUGCCUGGAGAGGGGUUUAUGUCCUAUCAGCUUGUUGGUGGGGUAAUGGCCUACCAAGGCGAAGACGGGUAGCCGGUCUUAGAGGAUGGUCGGCCACACUGGGACUGAGACACUGCCCAGACUUCUACGGAAGGCUGCAGUCGAGAAUCUUUCGCAAUGCCCGAAAGGGUGACGAAGCGACGCCGCGUGAGUGAGGAAGGCCUUCGGGUUGUAAAGCUCUGUCAGGAGUUAAGAAAUAUAAGUAUGCUAAUACCAUAUUUAUUUGACGAAGGCUCCAAAGGAAGCCACGGCUAACUCUGUGCCAGCAGCCGCGGUAAUACAGAGGUGGCAAGCGUUGUUCGGAAUUAUUGGGCGUAAAGAGCACGUAGGUGGGUUUGUAAGUCAGAUGUGAAAGCCUUCUGCUCAACGGAAGAAUUGCAUCUGAAACUACGAGUCUUGAGUGUAGGAGGGGAGAAUGGAACUUCUGGUGGAGCGGUGAAAUGCGUAGAUAUCAGAAGGGACACCGGCGGCGAAAGCGAUUCUCUGGCCUAUUACUGACACUCAGUGUGCGAAAGCUAGGGGAGCAAACGGGAUUAGAUACCCCGGUAGUCCUAGCCGUAAACGAUGGGCACUAAGUAGAGGGAAUUACCGAUGUUCUCUCUGCCGUAGCUAACGCAUUAAGUGCCCCGCCUGGGGAGUACGGCCGCAAGGCUAAAACUCAAAAGAAUUGACGGGGGCUCGCACAAGCGGUGGAGCAUGUGGCUUAAUUCGAUGCAACGCGAAGAACCUUACCGGGGCUUGACAUGGUAGAAGUAGAAACCCGAAAGGGUAACGAACGGUAUCCAGUCCGUAACUAUCACAGGUGUUGCAUGGCUGUCGUCAGCUCGUGUCGUGAGACGUUGGGUUAAGUCCCCUAACGAGCGAAACCCUUGUUUUUAGUUACCAGCGGGUUAUGCCGGGUACUCUAGAAAGACUGCCGUCGUCAAGACGGAGGAAGGUGGGGAUGACGUCAAGUCAUCAUGGCCCUUAUGCCCCGGGCUGCACACGUGCUACAAUGGUCGGUACAAACGGGAGCGAAGCCGAGAGGUGAAGCGAAUCCUAAAAAGCCGAUCUCAGUUCGGAUUGGAGGCUGAAAUUCGCCUCCAUGAAGUUGGAAUCGCUAGUAAUCGCGGAUCAGCAUUGCCGCGGUGAAUAUGUUCCCGAGCCUUGUACACACCGCCCGUCAAGCCACCCAAGCAGGAUGCACCCGAAAACAUUAUAUCUAACCAAGUUUACUUGGAGGAAAAUGUUGAAGGAGUGUUUUGUGAGGAGGACUAAGUCGUAACAAGGUAGUCGUAGGAGAACCUGCGGCUGGAUCACCUCCUUUCU